rnacentral:misc_RNA from 1 species
GAUGAAGAACGUAGCGAAAUGCGAUAAGUAGUGUGAAUUGCAGAAUUCAGUGAAUCAUCGAAUCUUUGAACGCACAUUGCGCCCCCUGGUAUUCCGGGGGGCAUGCCUGUCCGAGCGUCAUUACAACCCUCAAGCUCAGCUUGGUGUUGGGCCCCGCCGCCCCGGCGGGCCCUAAAGUCAGUGGCGGUGCCGUCCGGCUCCGAGCGUAGUAAUUCUUCUCGCUCUGGAGGUCCGGUCGUGUGCUCGCCAGCGACCCCCAAUUUUUUUCAGGUUGACCUCGGAUCAGGUAGGGAUACCCGCUGAACUUAAGCAUAUCAAUAAGCGGAGGA